rnacentral:rRNA from 1 species
AGAGUUUGAUCCUGGCUCAGGAUGAACGCUAGCGGCAGGCCUAACACAUGCAAGUCGAGGGGCAACACGAAUAGCAAUAUUUGGUGGCGACCGGCGCACGGGUGCGUAACGCGUAUGCAACCUACCUUUAACUGGAGCAUAGCCCCGAGAGAUCGGGAUUAAUACUCCAUAACAACAUAGGGCCGCAUGGUCCGGAGGGUAAAGCUUCGGCGGGAAUGGAUGGGCAUGCGUGCCAUUAGCUGGCUGGCGGGGUAACGGCCCACCAGGGCUACGAUGGCUAGGGGUUCUGAGAGGAUGAUCCCCCACACUGGUACUGAGACACGGACCAGACUCCUACGGGAGGCAGCAGUGAGGAAUAUUGGUCAAUGGCCGGAAGGCUGAACCAGCCAUCCCGCGUGCAGGAUGACGGCCCUAUGGGUUGUAAACUGCUUUUGUACACCAAGAUCCCGUAAAUAAUGGGAAGGAAUGACGGUAGUGUAUGAAUAAGCAUCGGCUAACUCCGUGCCAGCAGCCGCGGUAAUACGGAGGAUGCAAGCGUUAUCCGGAUUCAUUGGGUUUAAAGGGUGCGCAGGUGGGAAAAUAAGUCAGUGGUGAAAUACUGCCGCUUAACGGUAGAAUUGCCAUUGAUACUGAAAAGCUUGAGUACAUUUGAGGUAAGCGGAAUGUGUAGUGUAGCGGUGAAAUGCUUAGAUAUUACACAGAACACCAAUUGCGAAGGCAGCUUACUAAACUGAUACUGACGCUGAUGCACGAAAGCGUGGGGAGCGAACAGGAUUAGAUACCCUGGUAGUCCACGCCGUAAACGAUGCUCACUCGCUGUUUGCGAUACACAGCAAGCGGCCAAGCGAAAGCAUUAAGUGAGCCACCUGGGGAGUACGAUCGCAAGGUUGAAACUCAAAGGAAUUGACGGGGGCCCGCACAAGCGGUGGAGCAUGUGGUUUAAUUCGACGCAACGCGAAGAACCUUACCAGGGCUUAAAUGCUUAAUGACGUACUGGGAAACCGGUAUUUCUCUCGGGACGGACUGCAAGGUGCUGCAUGGUUGUCGUCAGCUCGUGCCGUGAGGUGUCGGGUUAAGUCCCAUAACGAGCGCAACCCUUAUCGUUAGUUGCCAGCGGGUCAAGCCGGGGACUCUAGCGAGACUGCCACCGUAAGGUGUGAGGAAGGUGGGGAUGACGUCAAAUCAGCACGGCCCUUAUGUCCAGGGCUACACACGUGUUACAAUGGCCGAUACAAAGGGCAGCUACUCCGCGAGGAGAUGCUAAUCUCUAAAGUCGGUCCCAGUUCGGAUCGGAGUCUGCAACCCGACUCCGUGAAGUUGGAUUCGCUAGUAAUCGCGCAUCAGCCAUGGCGCGGUGAAUACGUUCCCGGGCCUUGUACACACCGCCCGUCAAACCAUGGAAGCUGGGGGUGCCUGAAGUCUGUAACCGCAAGGAGCGGCCUAGGGUAAAACUAGUAACUGGGGUUAAGUCGUAACAAGGUAAC